CUGGGUUUAGAACAUGGGCUUCUUGUU
rnacentral:piRNA from 1 species